UACCCAGGUGGAAGCUUUGA
rnacentral:miRNA from 1 species